GAGAUCGUGGUGAAGUGGAUAACACGUCAGGCUGUGAACCUGAUAUCUGCUCGGUUCGAUUCCGGCCGAUCUCCCCA
rnacentral:tRNA from 1 species